UACGUAGGGUGCAAACGUUGUUCGGAAUUACUGGGCGUAAAGCGCGUGUAGGCUGCUCUGCAAGUCGGAUGUGAAAGCCCUGGGCUCAACCUAGGAAGUGCACUCGAAACUGCGGAGCUUGAGUCUCGGAGAGGAUCGCGGAAUUCUCGGUGUAGAGGUGAAAUUCGUAGAUAUCGAGAGGAACACCGGUGGCGAAGGCGGCGAUCUGGACAAUGACUGACGCUGAGACGCGAAAGCGUGGGGAGCAAACAGG
rnacentral:rRNA from 1 species